rnacentral:rRNA from 1 species
UACGGGGGGGGCAAGCGUUGUUCGGAAUUACUGGGCGUAAAGGGCUCGUAGGCGGCCAACUAAGUCAGACGUGAAAUCCCUCGGCUUAACCGGGGAACUGCAUCUGAUACUGGAUGGCUUGAGUUCGGGAGAGGGAUGCGGAAUUCCAGGUGUAGCGGUGAAAUGCGUAGAUAUCUGGAGGAACACCGGUGGCGAAGGCGGCAUCCUGGACCGGCACUGACGCUGAGGAGCGAAAGCUAGGGGAGCGAACGGG